rnacentral:lncRNA from 1 species
UUCAGUGUGUGGGUAUAAAACAUAUUUAUUAUUGUGGGUUUUGGCCAAAAGAAGCUUGAGAAACACGGGUUUCCAUGAUUCCUUUUGCCUGGAGUACUGAAGCUUAGUGCCGCCCUCCAAUGGAUUUUCAACAGCCUGUUGGAGCCCCACUUCCUUGAAAAGUUUUCACAUGAUUUUCUUUAGCCAGAGUGCAAAACCUGUGGAAGCCAUGGGUACGUUUUAAACAAGGGAGUGAUGAGAUGUGAUUUACAUUCUAAGAACAGGCGCUCCUGUGAAGAGGAAGCCUCAGGAGGGAGUGAGAGCAGAAGGGAGCCCACCUGUGGUUGUCUCAGCAACAGCAGAAGAACCUGGGCCGCUGGGAGUGGAGUUGGAGAGAAACAGGUUGAUUUGGAAGUUCUUCUGCAGGUAGAACGGAAAGGCGAAUUCUGCAAGAUGCUCUGGGGUCCACUGAGCUCAGCUGCUGAGGCUCAGCUCUUUCUGUGGCUUCUUCUUGAGCAGCCUGUUGACCAAGAUGUGGCCCAUGCCACUCCCUAUAUUCGGAGUCCAUUUUCUGAUGCCCUCUCUCAGCUCUUCGCCUGCACUCAUCUGUGACUGCCUGGUACUGCUAGGAAGCCUCUGUUUGUGUCUCAUCUCUCCAGGUGGACUGGAGCUCCUGGGGGUCCUUUCCUUUGUGGGGGUUCUCAAUAUCAGAAUGGAGUCGCUUAUGUCAAACCCUAACAAAAUGGAGGUGGAGGUCACGAAUUGGAGCCUAUAUGCGUGCCUGUAACAGGACUUGUCACAAGGAAUCCCUGCACAUAUGUGUAUGAUGGGGACUAUGCCAGGAACUCCUCACAUAUGGAGGAUUCGAGAUAGACUGGGAGCUCCAUGAGGUCCGAGACAACCUGAAGACGCCCAGCUCAGCAGAGACUGGCUACGGCAAUCACUCAGUAACUAUUUGUUGAAUUGGACAUAAUAGAAGAGCUGAAGAAUUUUAAACAAGUCACCAUCAGUGCAGUGGAUUCCUCAAAGCAAACCUGGAAAUCUCGGCAUGAGUUGGAUUUAAGGCAGUACAUUUUCAGCUCCUGAAAAUUUGAACAGUUUCUCAAGAGAACAACUUGAAACAGAAAGGCAAGGAUGUAGAUGUGGUUGUAGAAGAUGAUGUCUGCGGCCACCAAACUGUCCACUGUGAAGACAAACCAUGCAUGUUUAGUAGGCAGUGGCUCCUCUUCCCUGUGGGGAGUCCCACUGCUUCCCUGGCCUGGGUGUUCUCUGCCGGUAGAUGUUAUUGACAAAAUAAGCAAAGUCCUCUGAUUCUGAGAAUUAGAGUUAAUGAUAGCUCUAGAUUGCCUCUGCCAUGCUAUUUAAAGUCCUGCUUUAUUGUCUGACAUGAGUUCGGCAUCUAUGAGGACUUGUCCAGUGCAAAGUACAAUCUCCACUGAAAGAUAUCACCAGCACAUCUUGUCACUGUGCUGUAGCAAGCUGGGCAGUACAAUGAUGUUGGCAGGAUCCUGUUUAGGUGGAGGAUGGCCACCUGGGCAUCAAGAAUCUUCUACCCUGAUUCCACAUUGACUCCCCAAAGUGGGCUUCAGACAGCUCUUUACUUACGUCUUCUGAUUAAAGCAGCAGACAGGGUCCCAGCUAGAGAAAAGUUCUGGGAGCAGGAGAGGUGUUGGUGGCUUUAAAACCAGGGGUGAAGAUUGAAUUAGGAGGUUAGGCAGGAGUAGGAUCAAAGACUUAGAAAAUGCUUGUUUCCUCCUAUUAUUCUUAUGAGAGCUGAUACGGGGCUUUCAGUUUUGGGGGAGAGCCUUGGAAGAGAAUGAGGGAAUUUAAUCAACUAGCGGGACCUUUCCAACUUACAUUUCCCAGUGUUUGUUGGAUGAUACGUUUGCCUAAUAAGUUAAAGCUUCCAAAAAUAGAAAGGAAAGCUUGGUGACACUAAGCUCUGGCAUGCUGUCAUCUUCUGGCUAGGGGUCUUGUGCUUCUGUUUUUCUAUUUCUGACCAAAGACAUAAAAUGUGUUGUGACCUCUCAGGUAAUGCUGUGGUAUCAUGUCCAAGCAGUAACUAACCAGAGUGGAGUUUUUACAGGUAAAAAAGUAUUGAAUAGCUCAGCAACAGGGAGGACUUAAUGAUAAAUUGCUUUUUCAGAAAAUGACAAGGGGACAGACACUUGCGGUUCUUCCAUUGAGAGCCUUAAGGAAGUUAAGCGAAGCCUCUGCUCACCCCUUCAAGUAACGAUGACCCAUCAGAUCGUGGUCAUAACCAGUAGCAUCUGAGGCACCCCUAAGCUCUCUGGGCCCCAGAUUCCUUGUUAAGUUAAAUGAGGUGACUUCCCAGUUUACCAUUCUAGGGGUUCCUGAGGAGUUAAAAAUGAAGGAGAAAAUGCAACAUGUACCAAGUGAGCAAGAGCUCAAGGCUUAUCUCUGGCACGAAAGUGACCGCUGUCCGUUAGAGAUGUGAUUGCCCUAGAUUUCCUUUAGGAAAUGCAAACAUUGAACUCUGGCCUUCAGGACCCAAGUCCCGGCUUGCAUCUAUUCUAUACACUUUCUGUUAUUUGUUAGGGCUCACAAGGAACAGUUAUUUAUCUUUUAUUUUCUAUUUUUUUUUUAGAGAUGGAGUCUCACUCUGUCUCCCAGGCUGGAGUGCAGUGGUGCCAUCUCAGCUCACUGCAACCUCCACCUCCCGGGUUCAAGCAAUUCUCCUGUCUCAGCCUCCUGAGUAGCUGGGACUACAGGCGUGUGCCAUCAUGCCCGGCUAAUUUUUAGUAUUUUUAGUAGAGGCAGGGUUUCACCAUAUUGGCCAGGCUGGUCUUGAACUCCUGAUCUCAAGUGAUCUACCCUCCUUGGCCUCCCAAACUGCUGGAAUUACAGAUGUGAGCGACCACACCUGGCCCAUUUGUUUUCUUUCAAACCCUUCUGUAAGACCAGUGCUUUAGGUGAACACGUGGACAGAACAAGAUCAUCACUAUUUUGCAAUAUGAAGACCAACUGCGCUGUGACCAGAAAAACAGAGGCAAAAUGUUGAGCUUAAUGAUACCUUUUUAUAAUUUGUAUUUGGUGUUUCUCAAUUUUCCAUUGGAUAGUUUGAGAGAUAAGUACAAGUCAAUGACAUGUUCUCUUUCGUACCCUAUUGUCUAAUCCUGCUAACACACACACACACACACACACACACACUGAUUACCUAAUUUAUCUGUUCCCCGAUUAUUACACUCUCAAUUGCUGCAGAGUCUCAGAAGCAGCAUGGUGUAACAGAAAGAAUAUGAGGCUUAGAAUCCAAAAGCCAGAGUGUGAAUUCCAGCUCCACUGACUUGCUGCGUGACUUGAAGCAAGUCAUUACGUGUCUCUGUUUACUCAUUUUAUGACUUUCCUAUUGCCUCUGUAAUAUAGCACCACAAACGUGUGGACUUAAAACAACAUGCAUUUAUUCUCUUAGCGUUCUGGAGGUCAGGAGUCUGACAUCAAUUUCGUUGGGCUAAAAUCAAGAUGUUGGUAGGACCAAGAUCCCCGUGGAGGCUCUGGGAGAACCCAUUUCCUUGCCUUUGCCAGCUUCUAAUGCUGCAUUCCUUGCAUUCCUUGAUUGUUGACCUCUUCCCCCAUCUUCAAAGCCAGCAGAACAGCACCUUGUUUCAUUGCCUUCUUUACUGUCAAAUCUCCCUCUGCCUUCUUCUUAUAAGAACACUUGUGGUUGCAUUUAGAAGCUGUGAUAAUCCAGAAUAAUAUCUUUAUCUCAAGAUCUUUGACUUGGUCUCUUCUGCAAAGUCUCUUUUGCCACAGAGGGAAAUAUUCACAGGUCCCAGGGGUCAGGCUGUGUACGUCUUUGGGGGACUUUAUUCUGCCUACCACACUCAUCUUUUUUUUUUUUUUUUUUGGAUGGAGUCUUGCUCUGUCACCCAGGCUGGAGUGCAGUGGCAUGAUCUCGGCUCACUGCAACUUCUGCCUCCCCAGUUCAAGCAAUUCUCCUGCCUCAACCUCCCAAGUAGCUGGAAUUACAGGCGCCUGCCACCACGCCCGGCUACUUUUUGUACUUUUAGUAGAGAUGGGGUUUCACUAUGUUGGCCUGGCUGGUCUUGAACUCCUGACCUCAGGUGAUUCCCCCACCUUGGCCUCCCAAAGUGCUGAGAUUACAGACGUGAGCCACCAUGCCCGGCCCCACACUCAUCUAUUAAGUAGAGCUAGGAAUUCCUAUCCUAAGGGACACAAAAAUGAAAAAAGAUAAAAUUUGUGAAGAGGCACAUAAUGAAAGCCCAUACAUGUCACUGAGUUCAGAGGAGGGUGGGUCUGACCUCCCAUUGGCUGGUCUCUGCCUGAUGGACAUCGUGAAGAAGAGAGCCAGGACUAGUGUGGCUGGGGGAUGUUCAGGGGCCAGAGUGGCUUCAGGUGCCAGCAGCCCUGGCCGAAGGAUGACUCCAGGAGCAAGGCUCAGAGCCGAGUGGAAGAAGCUUCAUAAACGCAACUGAGCCAAGCAUGAUGGGAUGUGCCUGUGGUUCCAGCUACUCAGGAGGCAGGUGGGAGGAUGGCUUGAGUCAGAAGUUCGAGGCUGCAGUGAGCUAUGAUCACACUACUGUACUCCAGCCUGGGUGACAGAAUGACACCCUGUCUCUAAAAAGAAAAGGCACCUGGAUGCUCAUGACCGAGAUGGGGUGGGGUGGGUGGGGUGGGACAGCCGCACUUUAUAACUUUGCUUUCAGCAUGAUGUGGAUUAGUGUCUCCCAUGUGGGAAAAUUAUGUUUACCACUUAGAGACCUGAUAGUGCUUGCUUACCCCAUAACGCUGGACGGUGGCAGGCUUAACUCCCCCAUCAAGGGCCUUAAUGUAUUUGGGGCCCUAGUCCUAGCAACAGCAGCAAAUCUCCUUUUUCUUUUCCUCGAGCUGGUUGUUCACCAGGCAGUUGGGAUGUUAAUGGGAAGAGAAGACACACACAAGUCCCUUGUUUUCAAUAAGGCAGUCUGGUCACGUCCUUAGCAGGUUAUUAAUCUUUUUCAAACCCCUCCUCUCCACCAAGUUUUAUGAUCCUGGGAAGGAGAUUCCUACCUAGCAUCCUUAGAGUUAUCGGGGGUUAGGAUCGGUGCAUGCAGUCACUUCCGUGGAAUCAUCAGUAGCCCUCCAGCCUCUGGGGAGAGCUGCCAGUGGUCAGAGAUGUUGGGAAUUACGAGGGAGGAGCUAGGGAGAAGGAACUCACAGUCCCUCAGUCUCUGAAGGUGGCUCCUGGCAGGAGAGGGGGCCAGUCCUAGAUAAGAGCUCUCCCAGGGAAUUCCAAGGGUCCUCCCAAGGUCCAGCCACAAGAUGAGGAAUUACUGUUGGGCUCUUCCUCAGAUGUGCCUGUGAAUUCAUAUCACAGAUGCUUGAUGCAUUUGACAAUUGUUUAAUUGCUUGAGCCCAACUGAUACUCUUUCAGUCACUUUAAGGGAGUGAUUUCAAGUAUGAUCAUUGCCUCAAAUCUGUAUGGCUUUCCUUGCCUUUCAGGUGCUUUAAGAGGGCUUAUGUUCUUUGACUCCCCUAGUAACUCAAAAGGGUGGCUAAGAUGCAACUCUGGAGGUUUCCAAGCUCUCUGCAAAGCCUGCCUUCAGUAGUCUGUGCACCACAAGAAGCAUAACUUUAUUAUCCUCUAGCUGAAUUUACCUCCUGCUUCGAGCCCCUGUUUUCCCAUGUCAUUUUAGGGGUCCAAUGUUUUUCCUGGAGGCAUAUACACACACACACACACACACACACACACACACACACACACACACACACACACAUAUAUACACACACACAUUCCAGGGGCCUCUGAGGUGCCAAGACAUGUGUGGGGUCCAUCUGGUUCACACUGAUGUCCAUGAUCAUUGAGUUCAUUUUUUAUAUCAACUAUGUGACACUUCCUAUAGUUUCCAGUUCCUGGUUAGAAUUUGCAAAGUUGCCGACUAUUUCUUUGAAUAGAGUAGCUAGAUCAUGGGUCUACACCAGUCAUCAAGCAGCGAUUUCCCUGUUGGAAGCUCCAAGCAAAUUGUCAGCUCCAGCAUUCCACACAGCUGUGGGUGCCACACUCCUUUUCCUUUUAAAAGAUGAUGAUCUGCUAGUGGUGAAUGCUCUUGGAGUUUUAUUUGUAGGUUUUUCUUGUUGUCGCAAAUGUCUAUAUUUCAUCUUCCCUCUUGAGGGAUAUUUUCCAUGGGUAGAGGAUCUAGGCUUUUCUUUUGGAUUCCAUUGUGGCUUUAAAAAAAAGUCAGUUGACUGUUUAUUUAUGGCUUCUCUAAAGGUGAUCUCUUUCUUCCUAAGGCUGCUUUAAAAGUUUCCGUUCCCUCCCUCCCUUCCUCCCACCCCAUCCCCCUUCUUCCUUUCCUUCCUCCCUCCCUUCCUCCCUUCUCUUCCUCCCUUUCUCCCUUGUCUUCCUCCUUUUCUCCCAUCCUCCCUUCCUCCCUCUUUCCUUCUUUUUUCCCUUCCUCCCGCCCUCCUUCCUUCUUCCAUCAUUAUAUAUUAAAAUAUUUUCUUUCUUUCUUUUUUUUUUUUGAGAUGGAGUUUCGCUCUUGUUGCCCAGGCUGGAGUGCAACGGUGUGAUCUUGGCUUACUGCAACCUCCACCUCCCUGGUUCAAGCGAUUCACCUGCCUCAGCCUCCCUAGUAGCUGGGAUUACAGGUGCCCGCCACCACACCCAGCUAAUUUUUGUAAUUGUAGUAGAGAUGGGGUUUCACCAUGUGGGCCAGGCUGGUCUUGAACUCCUGAACUCAGGUAAUCCACCCGCCUUGUCCUCCCAAAGUGCUGGAAUUACAGGCAUGAGCCACCACUCCCAGCCUAUUAAAAUAUUUUCUUCUGGGCCUUCCCUCCUUUUACUUCUUUUGAUACCGCCAUCAAAUGCAUGUUAGGUUGACUCACUGUGUACUCUAUUACCCUCUCAUCUGGUUUUUAAUCUUUCUGUCUCCUUAUACUGUAAUCUCAGUGUUUCUUCUGCUUUAAUUUUGGUAUAUGAAUUAUUCAGCUGUGUUCAAAGUGUGGUUAAAGCGACUUAUAUGCUCUUUAAUUUUUAGUUAUUGUACUUUUCACCUCUAGAAGUUCUUCUGUGACACUUCUUAUAGUUUCCAGUUCCUGGUUAGAAUUUGCAAACUUGUUGACUAUUUCUUUGAAAAGAGUAGCUAGAAUUGUUUUAGUCUGUGUAUAGUGAGUUGAAUAUCUGAAACCUCUGUGAGUCUGUUUCUUUUGUCUGCUAGCCCUACUCAUGGCGUCAUGUUUUCCUGGAUGUUUAGUUGGUUGUCUUUGAAUAUGUCCAACUCCAGUUAUUUCUGGGAAUACCCAAAGGCACACCUGUUCACUAUCACCCAGUGAACUGCCAUGUGUUUGUCUCCUGUCAUGGUAACAUUUGCAUUCAGGGAGAGGCCUCUGCUCUCUGCAGAACAGUGUGAAAUCACCUCAUUUUUGCCUUCAAUGAAGGUUGUCUCUUGCUGGUCACCACCACUUCCUCAAAUGACUAAUGCCACUCUUGCUCACAGUGCUAAGGCGCUAAGGAGUUUUCAGAGGGCUAGAGUGAUUCUGCAUCCUCUGGGGUUCUCAGGAAACGAGGCCACAGGGCCAUCUGUGCAUGAGUGACAGUGGGGUGGGGUGGAUGAGCAGUGGCAGUGGUGGGCACCUAUGCUGCUGGCGCCACAGCUUUUUAUAUCUUGGUGAAAACAACGCCUUGCGUUUUCACUUGUAGAUUCUCCGGCUACAUUCCACAAGAACAAAUUCUGGUCACAGAGGCCAGAGUAGACUAUCAGUGUAAUGGCCCUUCCCCUUUGAUGAUAGCAGCUUUUUUCGGGGGAGCAGGGGUGGCCAAACUUCCUAGCCUUAUUUUAUCUUCCUUUCUAGUUCUCCCCAGAGGCUGCUGGGUCCACCUCUCCCUCUGCCAGACAGACAGGCUCAGACAUGCAAGAACGGAAGGGGGUGUGGGGGUUGGUGGGAGGAUUAAGUUGGGGAAAGCCAGUCUUGUCUUUGUAGAUUACCAGAACUGACACACGUACACACACGUACACUCACUCACUCACUCACUCAUCUAUUCAUCUAUUUUUGGCCUAAGUGCCUUUGGACACUUCUUCGGAAAAGCACAUGAACUCUUCGGAGUCUCCUGUUCCACUUGGUAAAUUUCCUAUAGCCACGCACUGAAAGUCCCUGCUGCCCUCCUUCCUCUGAGCUUGUGGGGCCCACAGAUCCCCUGCUCCACUUCCUGCUUCAUUUCAGCUGAUGGAUGACACUCCCUCGUUCUAAUACCAUCUGAAUGCCUGAGCAAUUACAUCUUACAACCUCAUGAAAAACACAGCAGCUUGUCACGAUGAAUGAUGUUACCGUGAAUAAUGCAGUUUUGAGUUCAAACUCCUUCUUAUUCCAAGAAUGAGUAAAUAUCCCUAUUCCCUCCCCUCCCCAUUGCAUUUGGGUUUGACAUGACAUGAAUCAUUGUGGUUUUACUCCUGGGUAGAAUUGUUUUUCUGUAUUGCAUUGCCAAUUGAUGGAAGGACAAAAAAAGGAAACUUACCAAUGAGCAGUUUCAGAUGAACUUAAAUUCUCAGAAAUCUUGAAGAAUGAAUGAACUAUAACUUUCUGAAGUUGCAAAAAUGUUCAAGUCGGAAGUGACCCAUGGGAAGCAACCUGGUCCUUAAUUAGGACUGGAAAGAAAACGGAGGCCCAGCGAGGGAACAGUGGCUUCCCCAAGGUCACACUGCAAGUGAGUGGUGGCACUAGUCACCCAGGAGUCCUCCUGACUCCAUGGUAUCCUGACCCCAGACCAGCAGCCUUAUUUGUGGUUAAAGAACGUGGAAAAACAGCUUAUGUUUGAAUUUUAAAAUCAUGCCAGUACUAAAGAUCUGCAUUCCAUGAAUAUUGAGCUUUGCUGUGUGCGGGUUGCUACGAAUUUUGUAACUAUUUUCUCUAAGAGCUCUCAGUAUUUUACAUAUACAAUUCCAUUCUUUAUUGUCCAGGGAAAAAGUUGCAUUUACUGAGCAGUAAGAGGGUGAUUUGAAGUCCCUGGGGUCCCCCACCCUUGUCUUUCUAUGUGAGAUUGUAUUGCAGGGCUCACAUUUAUUCUCUCAGCAGCUCAUUGCACAGACAGUGUAUUUAUUGAGCACCUACUGUGUGCCAGGAGCUAUGUGGUAAGCUAAGCAGACAAAAACUCCUGCUCUCACAAGAAGAAAGAAUAAACAAGCAGACAAUUGCACCUAUAAUGUCAGCCUGGUGUGAUGGCUCACUCCUGGAAUCCUAGCACUUUGGGAGGUGACGAUGGGAGGAUUGCUUUAACUCGGGAGUUCAAGAUAAGCCUGGGCAACCAAGACCCUGUCUCUACAAAAAAAUCAAAAAAUUAGCUGGGGGUGAUGGCAUGAGUCUCUGGUCCCUCGGGACCAGAGGCCUCGGGAGGCUGAGGCGGGUUUAUCACUUGAGCCUGGGAGGUUGAGGCUGCAGUGAGCUGUGAUCACACCACUGCACUCCAGCCUGGGCCACAGAGCGAGACCCUGUCUCUAAAUAAACAAACAACCUAAUGUCAAGUUAGGAAGUGUGGCAAAAAGGAACAAAGUCAGGGUGACUGCCAUUCUAGAAAGGGUGGUGAGGGAAGGUCUCCUUGAGCAGAUCCUGUGGGAGUGGAAGGGUAAGUCACGAGACUCUCUGGAGGAAGAAGAUUCCAGGUGGAAAUGCCUUAGUGGGUGUUAAACGCUUUAACGGGUGUUAGCCAGAAAGCCAGAAUGGCUGGAGCUGAGGGAGUAGAGGAGGCGGCAUAGAAAAUGAGGUCAGAGAUGGAGGCAGGGCCGGAUCACAGAGGGGCACAGAGAACGAGGAGGGAAUUGGAUUUUUGGAAAAGAUUGUGGCAAAAUACAAAAUAUAAAAUACAAAAAUAAAAUAUAAACCAUAAAAUGUACUACCUUUACCAUUUUAAGUAUGCAGUUCAGUAGUGUUAAAUACAUUUACAUCAUUGUUCAACCCGUCUCCAGAACUCUCUGCAUCUUGCAAAAUUAAAACUCUAUGCCAUUUCAACAGUUCGCAUUUCCUCUUCCCUCUCGUUCAUGGCAACCGCCAUUUUUCUUUCUGUCUCUGUAAAUGUUAGUACUUGGGGUAUCUCAUCUAAGUGGAAUCACACAGUGUGUGUCCUUUUGUGACAGACUUAUUUCACUUUGCAUAAUGUCCUUAAUAUUCAUCCAUGUUGUAGCAUGUGUCAGAUUUUCCUUCCUUCUUAACAUUGUGUAAUAUUCCAUUGUACGCAUAGACUACAUUUAGCUUAUCUGUUCACCUGUGGAUGGACACUUGGGUUGCUAUAGUGAAUAAUAUUGCUGUAAAUAUGGGUAUACGAUUAUCUCUUUGUGACCCUGCUUUUAAUUGUUUUGGAUAUAUACCCAGAAAUGGAAUUACUGAAUCAUGUGGAGAUUCUGUUUUUGAUUUAUUUAUUUAUUUUUAAUUUUUGAGAUGGAGUCUCGUUCUGUCACCCAGGCUGGAGUGCAGUGACACGAUCUCUGCUCACUGCAACCUCUGCCUCCUUGCACCAUUAAUUCUGAAAAUGCAGGCCUGGAUCCAACCGCCUUUGGGGACGGGUACCUGCCCACAGGAAGAGGUUGAGGAGACAAUAAUGUCACGAGAAUCAUCAUCUUUGACUGGGAAAUGGUGUGCAGAGUUUCUGGUGCCUUCUGAAGUGAUUGUCGCAUCUCAGCCUCCCUAGUAGCUGGGAUUACAGGCAUUUGCCACCAAGCCCGGCUAAUUUUUGUAUUUUUAGUAGAGACGGGGUUUCAUCAUGUUGGCCAGGCUGGUCUCAAACUCCUGACCUCAGGUGAUCCACCUGCCUCAGCCUCCCAAAGUGCUGGGAUUAUAGGUGUGAGCCAUGCACCUGGCCUGAUUGGUUAUUUAAAUUCUGAGAUGGGGUAUACUAAUGUUUGAAAACCACAGGGAUGGGAUAGGUAUAGGUGGGGAGGGAGAGCAAAAGUGGUAUUUAGAAUAUGUUACGUUUGAAAAACCUAAUACACAUUCUACAUCCAAGUGGACAUAGAUGGAGUUAUUUGA